CCUACGGGAGGCAGCAGUGGGGAAUAUUGGACAAUGGGCGAAAGCCUGAUCCAGCAAUGCCGCGUGAGUGAUGAAGGCCUUAGGGUUGUAAAGCUCUUUUACCAGGGAUGAUAAUGACAGUACCUGGAGAAUAAGCUCCGGCUAACUCCGUGCCAGCAGCCGCGGUAAUACGGAGGGAGCUAGCGUUGUUCGGAAUUACUGGGCGUAAAGCGUGCGUAGGCGGUUAUUCAAGUCAGAGGUGAAAGCCCGGGGCUCAACCCCGGAACGGCCUUUGAAACUAGAUAGCUAGAAUCUUGGAGAGGUUAGUGGAAUUCCGAGUGUAGAGGUGAAAUUCGUAGAUAUUCGGAAGAACACCAGUGGCGAAGGCGACUAACUGGACAAGCAUUGACGCUGAGGCACGAAAGCGUGGGGAGCAAACAGGAUUAGAUACCCUGGUAGUCCACGCCGUUAAACGAUGAUAACUAGCUGUUCGGGCACUUGGUGCCUGAGUGGCGCAGCUACGCAUUAAGUUAUUCCGUCCGUCGGGAGGUACGGUCGCGAGAAUUAAACUACAAGGAAGUUAGACGGCGUGAGACGUGCCGACGGACGACGACGAGGGAGUAGG
rnacentral:rRNA from 1 species